rnacentral:rRNA from 1 species
GACGAACGCUGGCGGCGUGCCUAAUACAUGCAAGUAGGACGCAGUUGCGAACGGGUGCGUAAAGCGUAGGUAACUACCUAUUUGAGGGGGGUAACUAUUGGAAACGACAGCUAAUCCCGCAUACUAGUAGAUGGACCUGCGUUGUAUUAGCUUGGAGGGAGGGUAAGGGCCUAACUAGGCCAUGCUACAUAGCCGAGCUUGGAGGGUGAUCGGCCACACUGGGACUGAGAAACGGCCCAGACUCCUACGGGAGGCAGCAGUAGGGAAUCUUCGGCAAUGGGGGGAACCCUGACCGAGCAACGGCGCGGUGGUGGAGAAGGUUUUCGGAUCGUAAAGCUCUGUUGUUAAGGGAGCGGUACUUAACCAGAAAGGGACGGCUAACUACGUGCCAGCAGCCGCGGUAAUAC